rnacentral:rRNA from 1 species
UACGAAGGGGGCUAGCGUUGUUCGGAAUUACUGGGCGUAAAGCGCACGUAGGCGGAUAUUUAAGUCAGGGGUGAAAUCCCAGAGCUCAACUCUGGAACUGCCUUUGAUACUGGGUAUCUUGAGUAUGGAAGAGGUAAGUGGAAUUGCGAGUGUAGAGGUGAAAUUCGUAGAUAUUCGCAGGAACACCAGUGGCGAAGGCGGCUUACUGGUCCAUAACUGACGCUGAGGUGCGAAAGCGUGGGGAGCAAACAGGAGUUAGAUAC